UACGGAGGGUGCAAGCGUUAUCCGGAUUCACUGGGUUUAAAGGGUGCGUAGGCGGGCAGGUAAGUCCGUGGUGAAAUCUCUGAGCUUAACUCAGAAACUGCCAUGGAUACUAUUUGUCUUGAAUAUUGUGGAGGUAAGCGGAAUAUGUCAUGUAGCGGUGAAAUGCUUAGAUAUGACAUAGAACACCAAUUGCGAAGGCAGCUUACUACACAGUUAUUGACGCUGAGGCACGGAAGCGUGGGGAUCAAACAGG
rnacentral:rRNA from 1 species